CCUACGGGAGGCAGCAGUAGGGAAUCUUCCUCAAUGGGCGAAAGCCUGAUGGAGCAACGCCGCGUGGGUGAAGAAGGUCUUCGGAUCGUAAAACCCUGUUGUUAGAGAAAAAAGUGCGUGAGAGUAACUGUUCACGUUUCGACGGUAUCUAACCAGAAAGCCACAGCUAACUACGUGCCAGCAGCCGCGGUAAUACGUAGGUGGCAAGCGUUAUCCGGAUUUAUUGGGCGUAAAGGGAACGCAGGCGGUUUUUUAAGUCUGAUGUGAAAGCAUUCGGCUUAACCGGAGUAGUGCAUUGGAAACUGGGAGACUUGAGUGCAGAAGAGGAGAGUGGAAGUCCAUGUGUAGCGGUGAAAUGCGUAGAUAUAUGGAAGAACACCAGUGGCGAAAGCGGCUCUCUGGGCUGUAACUGACGCUGAGGUUCGAAAGCGUGGGUAGCAAACAGGAUUAGAUACCCCGGUAGUC
rnacentral:rRNA from 1 species